rnacentral:rRNA from 1 species
UACGAAGGGAGCUAGCGUUGUUCGGAAUCACUGGGCGUAAAGCGCACGUAGGCGGAUGUGUCAGUCAGGGGUGAAAUCCCGGAGCUCAACUUCGGAACUGCCCUUGAUACAGCACGUCUUGAGUCCGGAAGAGGAGAGUGGAAUUCCUGGUGUAGCGGUGAAAUGCGCAGAUAUCAGGAAGAACACCUAUGGCGAAGGCAGCUCUCUGGGACGGUACUGACGCUGAGACGCGAAAGCGUGGGGAGCGAACAGG